rnacentral:sRNA from 1 species
UGAUCUUUUCCAAAGACAGCAGGCGCAUAUGCAUAAUUGGUGAAUUCCAGCCUGCCGAGGAAUGAGAGUGAAGAUUUUGCAAGUAGGAUCUUUACGCCCCUUCCACGGUUGUAUGGAAGGGGCUUUUUGUGUG